UGAACCAGUGUAAAGGUGUAUGUGCCAAC
rnacentral:sRNA from 1 species